GUGUAGUGACAUGACCACUCGCCUUCCCUGACUCCGCCCUCCAUUCACAGGCUGACGCUCGGCUAUGCCCCCGCUGCCACAGUCUAUUAUUCAUAUGUCUUGGCACGACUCUCACAGCAAUCACCGUUAUGCAGGAGUAAAUGUCUUUGAAGAUGGGAACUCCUGUGAUCCUAAAGAUCAUCCUGACUGAUAGUAGCUCUCAGAGGUUGACUCUCUCCCAUGGACUCCCUGCAUCCGUUGAUGAUUUUAUGGUUGAACUGAAGAAACAAUGUGGACUUCAGGGCAGCUUUAGACUUCAAUUUAUUUAUUCAUUGUUUGGAAACAAGUUUCUUAACCUUACUUCAAUUUCAGAAGUGGAAGACAAAGGUACUCUUAGAGUCAUUGAUAUAUCAAGGCCCACCACUAUAGAACAUGAUGAUGAGUGCUCUACUGUACUUAAUCCAGUACUACACCUCCAAACAUUCAGUCCUUCCUCAGUGACUGAUUCUUCAUCCCUGUCAGGUGAACUUGUGGCUACAGAUAUACUGUCAUCAAGUGAGUCUACAAGCUCACGGUCCUCUUGGCUGGCUGUGUUUCAUGUACCCAAGUUCUCCUAUGAUGCAGAAUUAAAACUUAAGCAGGCAGGUUUACCUUAUAUUCAAAAUGGCACUGUACUUAUUCCAGAUCCCAAAUUGAAGUCAGCCAUCACUGACAGUUUAGUGCAGGGAAUUGUGCAGCAUAAAGUCUGUCAGUGAUGAGGAGAUGGAACAGGUAGCCCAGAGUCUCAUCAAGACACAUCCAUGUUUAACUGAGAAGGGGUCAUUCACUGGAUAUGGUGGAUGGAAGACCAGUCUAAAAUAUACUAGGCUGCUCAGAAGUGACAGUGAACUCUUUAAAAACAAACCUGAAACUCAAGAUAAAAAAGACUUUUGCAUCCUGAAAACAUGAGGUGAUUCAUGAUGUACCAGUGGUGGAGGAUUUUAUGGCAAGGUGGCCUGCUCUGUUUGAACUCAGUGAGGCUGAAUUCAAGAGAAUCACCACCAUACCACUUCAAUCCAAGUUCCUGUCUCAGCUGGACUUCCACUCUGACAACCUGACAACGCUGUUCCAAAGGAGAAGAGGGCAGCUAAGAGAAAGCAAAUACUGCACAAAUAGCUAAUAUAAGUGAUACAGGGGUCCCACAGUCAUGAAAAACCUAGAAAUGUAAAAAAAAAAACCUGACUGUUUUUUUUUUAAAUAUUAAAAUUUUUAGAAUUGUGGACAAGUUAUGGAAAAUAGUACAAUGUUUUAGUUGCCACAUGAUUUAUUGGGAAGAAGGGCAUAUCCAGGGAUGCCAUGAGGGCAUUUAGUUUUCAUCUUGUCCUUGCACAAUUAUUGCAUCUUUUUGUAUCAGCUUUAACUGUUCCUCUAUUUCCCUAUUUAUCAUCAUAUAUUUGUCUACCUCCUUUUUCUUUGUCUCUUUCCCACCAAUCUUCUUUCUUCAUGAUUUGGAGUACACA